rnacentral:tRNA from 1 species
GCUCGUAUAGCUCAACGGUAGAGCACCUGCCUUGUAAGCAGGGGGUUGCAGGUUCGAAACCUGCUGCGAGCA